rnacentral:rRNA from 1 species
UAGCAUAUCAAUAAGCGGAGGAAAAGAAACCAACAGGGAUUGCCCUAGUAACGGCGAGUGAAGCGGCAACAGCUCAAAUUUGAAAUCUGGCUUCGGCCCGAGUUGUAAUUUGUAGAGGAAGCUUUUGGCGAGGCACCUUCUGAGUCCCCUGGAACGGGGCGCCAUAGAGGGUGAGAGCCCCGUAUAGUUGGAUGCCUCCGCCUCUGUAAAGCUCCUUCGACGAGUCGAGUAGUUUGGGAAUGCUGCUCAAAAUGGGAGGUAAAUUUCUUCUAAAGCUAAAUACCGGCCAGAGACCGAUAGCGCACAAGUAGAGUGAUCGAAAGAUGAAAAGCACUUUGAAAAGAGGGUUAAACAGCACGUGAAAUUGUUGAAAGGGAAGCGCUUGUGACCAGACUUGCGCCGGGCUGAUCAUCCGGUGUUCUCACCGGUGCACUCUGCCCGGCUCAGGCCAGCAUCGGUUCUCGCGGGGGGAUAAAGGCUCGGGGAACGUAUCUCCUCCGGGAGUGUUAUAGCCCCGGGUGUAACGCCCUCGCGGGGACCGAGGUUCGCGCAUCUGCAAGGAUGCUGGCGUAAUGGUCACCAGCGACCCGUCUUGAAACACGGACCAAGGAGUCAAGGUUUUGCGCGAGUGUUUGGGUGUUAAACCCGCACGCGUAAUGAAAGUGAACGUAGGUGAGAGCUUCGGCGCAUCAUCGACCGAUCCUGAUGUAUUCGGAUGGAUUUGAGUAGGAGCGUUAAGCCUUGGACCCGAAAGAUGGUGAACUAUGCUUGGAUAGGGUGAAGCCAGAGGAAACUCUGGUGGAGGCUCGCAGCGGUUCUGACGUGCAAAUCGAUCGUCAAAUCUGAGCAUGGGGGCGAAAGACUAAUCGAACCAUCUAGUAGCUGGUUACCGCC